AUUAGAACUGUGCCUUGGAUAUGAAGGCUGCGUGUUUAAUUCAGAAAACAGCAAGUAUUUAACUUCAAUCUGAAGGACUUCUGUAAUGCAUGAUCCAACAAUGUAUUUAAAACCUAGGAGUCUUCAACAAGGUUCUGCUCCUAGAAGAUGAGAACAAAUGUAUUUCUCUGAUCUGCUGACAGUAGAAGAUAACUCAGCAGUGACACUGAAGCUAUUGUUAUCCACCAUCUUCAUCCAAGUCUGAUGAGGGAAGAUGUAAGAAUCAAUGACUUAGUGAGCUGGAAAAAAACUUAAAAAAUUAAAGUGAGCCAAUUAUAGUAAAAUACUAAGUAAAGUGAUGGAUUCUCUACCUCUUGGUAUAUUUAAUCAAGUCUGGAUGCCCUCUGGAAAAUAUUUGGACAACCACCAGUGUUGUCAGCAAUAUAGAGGUAGGAUGGGGAAAUAUAUGAUGUAUAUUUCAGAGACCAUAUUAAAUGAUCUUUGACUCCUGCAAUCAUGAACAUUAUAUGCAUCAGGUCAAAGAAUAAGUUAAAAUUCAUGUGGCUAUUUUUAUCUAUAUUGCUACAUUAAAAUGCUUGUGACUUAGUGAUUCAAGGCCAUAAAAUUAUAGAAGCGCCGAAAGCCUUCAAAACCCCACCACCUCUUCAGUGAAGAGUUCUGUGGCAGACUCAGGUGCCUGCCAGUGACCAUGUCACAAUGCAGCAAGGGUAGAUAUGAGAAAUGGGACUGGGCACAGUGUGCCUGUUCAUUCACACGGUAUAGAAGUGUGCAUCUGGGCUCAUGUCCAGGGUAGAACAGGACAUAGCAUGCCUUGGAACUCACUGAAAUAACAUGGGUGGGAGAAGAGCUUAAGCUCAGGGAUGGGUGUGAGUUGGAACUCAUGCCCCAAAUACAGAUCUGCCUUAUACACUUGAAGAUUCUGUAGGUUCUGGAGAACCUGGAGUGGUGAACCGUCAGUGAUAAAAUCUUACAGCUCAGGAUUUACAAACCACUCUCAGGCCUUACAUUUUCAGAGUAGCCAUUUGUGUUUAUGGUAUGUUUUAAACCAUUACAUAUCUGACUCUUUGUAGUCUGAUGGGCAGCAGUCCCAUGCCAGGUUCAUGGAAGCUGUAUAAUUGCUUGCUGUCUCUAGUUUCCUUCGCAGACUACAGAAGAUAAAAGAUGGAUUCGAUAGUGGCAUUGUGACAGCUAUGUCAGCUGAAGGUUUGUGGCUGCACCUGCCUGAGGUGCUUGUGUAGUGGGGCUGGAAACUCAACACUGUGUGAAAGUCUCCUCAGUACUUUAAAGGGAAUUUCCUCUAACAGGAAGAUCAGAUAUUUAUCCCAACUUUAUGCUCUCCAGCAGCAGUCCUUGGAGAGGGAGUAAAAGUCUGGAAGACUGAACCAGUACUUGAUUUGCUUUAAUUUUCUACACGAGUGUAGAGCUUUUCAGAAGAACAGCUGAAGACCAGCCACAUAAUAGUCCAUGGUGCAGGUUCUUAGGGCAUCCUCUGAAUUAUCCCUUGUCCUAUAAACAGUACCUUGUCUCCUUCCACAGCACUGUGCUUUUGACCAAAGAAAUAGCAUACUAGUAUAGCAACAGUUCCAGGAGCUUAGUAGAAGUAGCAAAUUUUUGAUGGCUUUAGUAGUAUGUUCAUGAGUUACAUACCUAUAGAGUUGCUUUACUCAGUGGCUUUACUUGGCUGCAGCUUGCAGAAGUAAAGAUUGUUGAACACUAUGCCAAGUAUGUUUGAAUGAAUUACUUUCUCUAAGGGAGCCAUCUCUGUAUUUAUAUGCAAGAAUUGAACCAAACUUUCCUAUAAUACCUCCAUAAGAAAAAAUGCUAUUUCUCUGCUUAUUCUCGAGCUGUAAGUUGCUAAAGUUGGUAUUCGCAAGUUUGUGUAUAACUCUUGUCUUUAGGAAAAUUUUCCCCUCUUUUUUCUGUUACAUAGCUGAGAAACAUGGAAACAAAUGAAGAAUACAUUUUGUAUCCAUUCACUGCUACUCAGAUAUUCAUUUUUGUAACAUGCCACUUUAAUUCCUAAGGGUUGGGAUUCAUUGCACUAGCAAGAGUUGUUAUAAAUGUGCUUUACUAAGUAUUUAUUAUCUCUUGUAUGGAUUUCAUAUGCAUAGAUGCAUAUGCAGUAUGCGUAUGUAUAAAUUAUGACUAAAGUAUAGAUGCACUGGUGUUUGUUCAGUUACUUGGAAAUCCAAGGAAAAUCAUGUAUUUCUACUAAUAUCACUUCAUCUGUGUCUGUGCCUUACAGUAGAUUGUUUCAUUGUUGGUGUUCCACAUUGUGAAAAGAGUGUAUAUUGCUUAGGCAGCUAUUGCAGGAAUCAACAAAAUGUGGAUCAGAUGAUGACUGUCCUAUCUAACUGCUAAAUAGAAAAUAAAUGUAGCCUAGUGUGGUGGGUUGACCCUGGCUGGAUGCCAGGUGCCCACAAAAGCCACUCCUCUCUAUCACUCCCCCCUCCUCAGCUGGACAGGGGAGAGAAAAUAGAAUGAAAAGCUCAUGGAUUGAGAUAAGAAGAGGGAGAGAUCACUCACCAAUUACUGUCAUGGGAAAAACACUUGACUUGGGGAAAAUUAAUUUAAUUUAUUACUAAUCAAAUCAGAAUAGGAUGAGAAGUAAAACCAAAUCUUAAAACACCUUCCCCCCACCCAUCCCUUCUUCCCGGGCUUAACUUUAUUCCUGAAUUCUCUACCUCCUCCCCUCCAAGUGGCACAUGGGGAAUGGGCGUUACGGUCAGUUCAUCACAUGUUGUCUCUGCUGCUCCUUCCUCCUCAGGGGCAGGACUCCUCACACUCUUCCCCUGCUCCAGCGUGGGGUCCCUUCCACAGGAGACAGUCCUCCAAGAACUUCUCCAACAUGAGUCCUUCCCACGGGCUGCAGUUCUUCACAAACUGCUCCAGCAUGGGUUCCCUGCGGGGUCACAAGUCCUGCCAGCAAACCAGCUCCAGCACGGGCUCCUCUCUCCAUGGGACCACAGGUCCUGCCAGGAGCCUGCUCCAGCACAGGCUUCCCACAGGGUCACAGCCUCCUUUGGGCACCUUCCUGCUCCAGCGUGGGGUCCUCCCCGGGCUGCAGGUGGAUAUCUGCUCCACCGUGGACCUCCCUGCGCUGCAGGGGAACAGCCUGCCUCACCGUGGUCUUCCCCACAGGCUGCUGGGGAAUGUCUGCUCCAGCACCUGAAGCACCUCCUCCCCCUCCUUCUUCACUGACCUGGGGGUCUGCAGGGUUGGUUCUCUCACAUCUUCUCACUCCUCUCUCUGGCUGCAAUUGUGCAGGUUUUUUUUUCCCCUUCUUAAAUAUGUUAUCCCAGAGGUGCUACCACUGUCGCUGAUGGGCUCAGCCUUGGCCAGCGGCGGGUCCAUCUUGGAGCCGGCUGGCAUUGGCUCUGUCAGGCAUAGGGGAAGCUUCUAGCAGCUUCUGAAAGAAGCCACCCCUGUAACCCCCCCGCUACCAAAACCUUGCCACGCAAACCCAAUAUACCUAGUUAAGCAGCAUUUUGGUAGAAGACAGUAUUAGUGUUGGCCUCUUUAAUUUAUUUAUUCUUGUUUUACCAAGAGACUACACAUCAGAGAGGUUCCCUCCAUGCGCCAUCUGUUUCCUUGCAAUCGAGAAUGGUAGAAUAAUUUUCUGAAGAAUUGCUGACAAGAUGUGGCAAGGGAACAGUAAUCCAUAAGGACGUGAUUUCUCAUUAAAGUCACUCAGCUCAUCUGUGAUACAGCAAGCUCUUGAUUUACACUGGUCACCUCUGGAGCAGGGAGGACAGUGACUGAUUAUCCAAGGAAAAUGUGAAAAUGCAGCUGGAGACUACAAGAAAAUCAAGAUGACAGCACAAGGUCAGCAGCAUGGAGACAUUAAUGAACAAAACAAAGUAAAUUUAUGUUCCAAAAGCUGUGGGCCCUCCCCUGCCAACCUAUCCACAAGAGUUUAGUUAUGUGAGUAGUUCUUAUGUGACAGCGUAACAUGAGCUAAUGCCUUGUAUAUGUUAUUAAAGAAAAAUGUCCAUUGAUUAUAGUAAGUAACCUAUUACUACAAAAAUGUCAAUGAAGCAAGAUAAAAGUGGGCACCAGCAGACAACAGAAUGAUUUUAAAUGUAUACACACAUAACAGGUCAAACCUGUAUGUCUAAUUAGAUACUGUCUGUUCCCACAGUAGAAAUUUUUGCUUCAUCAGUUCCUAACCUUGUGAUCUUUAACUGAAUUUUAUCCAAGACAUUGCACACUGGCAUUUUACUUUUACAGACUUCUGAGCUUUCAGCUGUUUAGAAGCUAUUGGUUGAAGGUGAUGAAUUCAACAAAGAACAAGGGUAUGACAGAAAACCAGUGUUCGAACUGUUACUUUGUCAGUGACUCUUCCACCAACAUAAUGCAGGAAUGCUGCAAGGUUAUUAACCAACAAAUCUCUCCUCUGUAGUCUAAAAAUAUCUCCCAAUUGGGUGCCUUGGUGAAAUGCCAUGUGUUAUAAAUGGCAAAGCUGAUUUCCAACUUACAGGGAUAGUGAGGAAGGACUGCAGGAGCUUUGAUAUUUAGAGGAGUGGUAAUGGACAUGUUGCCAUACACGUAGCUAGCCCUAAGUAAUUGUUUUCCUCCCUUAGAUUAGAUGCUUCUUAUCUUGCGGUAAUGUCAAAUGUCAAAAUCUUGCCAUUGCUUACUGUUGUCUUUAUAGGGUUGGGGUUUUUGUUUGGUUUUUUUUUUCUUUUUUUUCAGUUUUGGGAUAAAAAUCUUUAAUAAUCUUUAAAACUCAGAGGGUUUUCCUUUGGUUCACAAAUAUUGUAAUGAGUUGUAAAUCUGUGUGAUUAGUGACAGACAUUAAAGGAACUUGCUGACUCAGGAAAUUAGUAAUGUUUAGGAGAGGCUUUCACUUAGGUCAAAUCAGCAGUGGCAGAAAGUUUUUGCCAUCUGACGACUGUUUUAGGUUCAUACUGGCCCUGGGUGCUUUGAAUUUGCAUAGCACAUUGCCUCUUCUGCUAGGAUGUUUUACAUUCUGUGUUUUCAACAGUAACAGUUUUAUCCAGUGUAGCAGUGGGCCAGAUUUUUCAUUAGUGUAAAUCAAAGUCAUACUAUACUCUCUUAUGCCAGCAGUUCAUCUGAUUGUAUAUAUCUCUAAUACCAUGACAUGGGGGCAUCAAGCCAAAACUGGGAGACUUUUUCUGGAAAAGCUAAUCUAUGUGUUGUUCAUGGGAGAAAAGACGUGGACAUUUGUAAUCAAUGCUGUCUUCUCACAUGCAAUAAAAACACGCAGGGCAAUCUCGAUUUCUUACAGUAUAUAAACUAGCAUGACACACUAUGUGUCCAGGGUAUAAUGUGUGUUCAUACUUAGCUAUGUUAUUUCAAACUGUUAAAUAAUUUUUCUCCUAAGAAUGCCUUUCCUAGUUCAGAUUUCUUUGUCUCUACUCACCACCUUGUGGUCCAGCAUUCUGUCACUUUACUGUAUUGCAUUAACCUGUGUCAGGCAGAGUGAUGAUCUUACUCUUUGUCAAUAUGAACACCCUUGCUACAGGGGGCAUCAUUAGCUUCCUCUCUUCCAUGGUAAUGUGAUCCCUUGGGAGUAACCUCUCACAUGCUGCUGAAGCAGUGCUCAGAUUGCUAAUGGAUUUUCCUGUUAUUUUGUUGGUUUAAAAAAAAAAAGAAAAUUUCAAAUAUUAUAAAUACAGAGUUCAUAUAUAAGUCAAAUGAACAGGCAGCAAUUUCAGGGGUUAUGUUGCAGACACCAGUUACACAUGCACAUCAGAGAAACCAGCUGAUUUACAAUGUCACUGCAUGAAUGUGAGCAGAUUUUCCUCAGUUGAACAUCCACCAUGUUGAAUUUGUUCCAAGCUGUUGAUUCACCUAAGGAAUGUCCCACCAGUGAGCAGCACUGUAUGUAUUCUUCUUUCUAAAUAUUUAAACUAACUAUGUAUUAUUUCAUACUCAUCAAACAUUUCAAGGCUUUGUAGUCUUUCUAGACUCUAGUUUGGAACAAAUAUUUUGGCAUCUGUUAUUGUGU